rnacentral:rRNA from 1 species
CCUACGGGUGGCAGCAGUGAGGAAUAUUGGUCAAUGGACGAGAGUCUGAACCAGCCAAGUAGCGUGAAGGAUGACUGCUCUAUGGGUUGUAAACUUCUUUUAUAUGGGAAUAAAAUGUUCCACGUGUGGGUUUUUGUAUGUACCAUAUGAAUAAGGAUCGGCUAACUCCGUGCCAGCAGCCGCGGUAAUACGGAGGAUCCGAGCGUUAUCCGGAUUUAUUGGGUUUAAAGGGUGCGUAGGUUGAUUGUUAAGUCAGUGGUGAAAGUUUGCGGCUCAACCGUAAAAUUGCAGUUGAAACUGGCAGUCUUGAGUACAGUAGAGGUGGGCGGAAUGCGUGGUGUAGCGGUGAAAUGCUUAGAUAUCACGAAGAACUCCGAUUGCGAAGGCAGCUCACUAGACUGCAACUGACACUGAGGCUCGAAAGUGUGGGUAUCAAACAGGAUUAGAUACCCGAGUAGUC